AACGAACGCUGGCGGCAUGCCUAACACAUGCAAGUCGAACGAUCCCUUCGGGGAUAGUGGCGCACGGGUGCGUAACGCGUGGGAACCUGCCCUUAGGUUCGGAAUAACUCAGAGAAAUUUGAGCUAAUACCGGAUAAUGUCUUCGGACCAAAGAUUUAUCGCCUUUGGAUGGGCCCGCGUUGGAUUAGCUAGUUGGUGGGGUAAAGGCCUACCAAGGCGACGAUCCAUAGCCGGUCUGAGAGGAUGAUCAGCCACACUGGGACUGAGACACGGCCCAGACUCCUACGGGAGGCAGCAGUGGGGAAUAUUGGACAAUGGGCGAAAGCCUGAUCCAGCAAUGCCGCGUGAGUGAUGAAGGCCUUAGGGUUGUAAAGCUCUUUUACCCGGGAUGAUAAUGACAGUACCGGGAGAAUAAGCCCCGGCUAACUCCGUG
rnacentral:rRNA from 1 species